rnacentral:rRNA from 1 species
GGGGAAUAUUGCACAAUGGGGGAAACCCUGAUGCAGCAACGCCGCGUGAGUGAUGAAGGCCUUCGGGUUGUAAAGCUCUGUCUUUGGGGACGAUUAUGACGGUACCCAAGGAGGAAGCCACGGCUAACUACGUGCCAGCAGCCGCGGUAAUACGUAGGUGGCAAGCGUUGUCCGGAUUUACUGGGCGUAAAGGAUGCGUAGGCGGAUAUUUAAGUGAGAUGUGAAAUACCCGGGCUCAACUUGGGUGCUGCAUUUCAAACUGGAUAUCUAGAGUGCAGGAGAGGAAAGUGGAAUUCCUAGUGUAGCGGUGAAAUGCGUAGAGAUUAGGAAGAACAUCAGUGGCGAAGGCGACUUUCUGAACUGUAACUGACGCUGAGGCAUGAAAGCGUGGGGAGCAAACA